rnacentral:tRNA from 1 species
UCGGAUAUGGUGUAACGGCUAACAUUGCCGCCUCUCACGAGUCGCGCGGCAGCUCGGGGUUCGAUUCCCCGUAUCCGAG